AGCUUUGCGCAGUGCCAGUAUCGUAACAAUGAGGUUUAUCCGAGGCGCUAUUAUUGCUAAUUUAAAACUUUUCCCAAUACCCCGCCAUGACGACUUGAAAUAAUAGUCGACAUUGGCAAUUUUUGACAGUCUCUACGGAGA
ensembl:snRNA U4 U4 spliceosomal RNA